ACGAACGCUGGCGGCGUGCUUAACCCAUGCAAGUCGAACGGAAAGGCCCUGCUUUUGUGGGGUGCUCGAGUGGCGAACGGGUGAGUAACACGUGAGUAACCUGCCCUUGACUUUGGGAUAACUUCAGGAAACUGGGGCUAAUACCGGAUAGGAGCUCCUGCUGCAUGGUGGGGGUUGGAAAGUUUCGGCGGUUUGGGAUGGACUCGCGGCUUAUCAGCUUGUUGGUGGGGUAGUGGCUUACCAAGGCUUUGGCGGGUAGCCGGCCUGAGAGGGUGACCGGCCACAUUGGGACUGAGAUACGGCCCAGACUCCUACGGGAGGCAGCAGUGGGGAAUAUUGCACAAUGGGCGGAAGCCUGAUGCAGCAACGCCGCGUGCGGGAUGACGGCCUUCGGGUUGUAAACCGCUUUCGCCUGUGACGAAGCGUGAGUGACGGUAAUGGGUAAAGAAGCACCGGCUAACUACGUG
rnacentral:rRNA from 1 species